CAGCAUCAAAAUGGCCACCACCUCUAGGACGGGCUCCAGUCGCUUGGGGGCGGUGUGGGGCUCGAGGGCAAGAGGUUAUGCCCCUCCCACACAGAUCCGUCACGUGCCCUUAAUCUAACCCAGAGCCUAAGGUUUUUUUUCUCAACCUUCUAGUUCUUUCCUUUGUCAUACUCUCAACGCUCCUAAAACUUCCUCCUCACUUCAUCCCUCAGAUUUCGUACUCUGGCCCCUCACCUGUUCUCAGAGCUUAAAUUUUAACGGACGAAGGAAAAAGGUGAUCUUGGAUCUUGCUUUUCUUUUCUCCUUUAUACAAGAUUUAGCAUUACCUCUUACCCAGUCUCAGGAGUUCUUUGAAGAAAAUUUCUUAAGGGAAGAAAAGAAAAAAAUAAGAAACCUAUAUCAGAGAGGCAGAUGAAGGCAAG
rnacentral:lncRNA from 1 species